CGGGGCUGGACCGCUGCCGUUACCGUCUGUCGCAGGAGGCAGCAGCGGGCUGGGGGUGAGUGUGUGAGGCGAGAGUGGGACUUGGAGCUGCUGUCAUGAGCUACUCAGGUUAUGGCAACUGGAACUCUGAGACAAACAGAGUUAGAGAAGAUUGUGAGUGGCCGAGGAGGGAACAUCUGUCCCUACAGUGGCGCUGCCAUCAAAGGGCCUGGGAGAAGCUCUGUUCAGCACCUUGGAGUCUACAGGCAGAAGGAGACUCACAGCAGUUGGAACCCUGUCCCUGGAAGCACAGCACUGUUCCUCGCAUGCAGAAAAGGAAAUUGGAACGAAUGUGGAUUUGUCCCUAUUCCACAGCUAGCAUGGAAGAGUGCAUCAAAGGGUAGAGCACAAGUCCGAGGUGCAGGGAUCCCAAACUCACAAGACUCAACGCUCUUGUCAACCCAUGCCACCUACCUGCAGAAAUCAAGAAAGCUUCCAACGCCUCCAUCUCCAGACAGGAGUGCACCUCCUUUCCUGGAGGCCAGAAGAAUCUCUGUGAAGCACUGCUCUGUCUGUUUCCAGUUGAAAGACCAUGGAAACCUGGCCAGUAAACACCCGUCAGGGAUGCUGUCUGUUCAGCUGGUCCUGCCUCAGCACAGGGGGCUGGACAUGAUGAAUUCUCAAAGUCCUUUCAGCCUGACAUUGCUAUAAUUCAGGAUCACGAACAAUCUUCAGGACAAGGAAGGUCCUAGACUCAGGACAAUGGGGCCAUUCAGAUCAUAUCUGUUAUAUAAUAAACCACAGGACUUUCCCAUGGCUUCAGUUUAUAUUGUAUUAUUAAAAGCUAUAGUGCAUUGUCCUCAUCUUUGGCUGGGAGGUAGCCUGGGCCAUUAUAGCAGGGAUAAGGAAGAGACCAGAGAAAACAGAGGGGGCAAAUCAAAUCAGUAUCUUAGAUGUAUGUAUACUAAUGCGAGAAGUAUGGGGAAUAAGCAGGAAGAACUUGAAAUGCUAGUUAAUAAACACAGCUGUGCCAUAGCUGGUAUCAUAGAGACUUGGUGGGAUAAUACUUAUGAGUGGAAUAUUGGUAUAGAAGGGUACAGCUUGCUCAGGAAGGACAGGCAAGGAAAAAAGGCAGGAGAUGUUGCCUUAUAUAUUUAAAAUGUAUACACUUGGACUGAGGUUGUGAUGGAAAUAGGAGACAGACCUGUUGAAAGUCUCUGGGUAAGGAUAAAGGGUAAAAAAACAAGGGUGAUGUCAUGGCAGGGGUCUGCUACAGACCACCUAACCCGGAAGAAGAGGUGGAUGAGGCGCUUUUUAAACAACUAACAAAAUCAUCCAAAGCACAGGACUUGGUGGUUUUGGGAGAUUUCAACUCCAGACAUCUGUUGAGGGGAAAAAACACAGCAGGGCACAAAUUAUCCAACAAGUUCUUGGAAUGUAUUGGAGACAAUUUUUUAUUUCAGAAGGUGGAGAAACCUACCAGGGGAGAGGCUGUUCUAGAUUUGAUUUUGAUCCAUAGAGAGGAACUGGUUGAGAAUUUGUAAGUGGAAUGUAGCUUGGGUGAAAGUGAUCAUGAAAUGGCAGAGUUCGUGAUUCUAAGGAAUUGUAGGAGGAAAAACAGCACAAUAAAGAUAAUGGAUUUCAAGAAGGCAGACUUCAACAAACUCAGGGAAUUGAUAGGUAAGAUCCCAUGGGAAGCAAGUCUAAGGGGGAAAAACAGUUCAAGAGAGUUGGCAGAUUUUCAGAGAGACAUUAUUAAGGGCACAAGAGC